rnacentral:lncRNA from 1 species
GCGUGGAAGGCGCUGGGUGGCCAACUGACGAACUGUGUUCACCUGAUAAGGAGUCGUGGCUGCUUGGACAGGCUCAAACCAAGAGAGCCUUUCGUUUUGUCUCCCCUGUUUUUCUGCCUGCGUUUUCUCCACAUUAGCCACUCAAUUUCCAGUACCAUCCUGGCGGAUGACUUCAGCAUUAGAUGGUCAGGUGUAUUUUUUUAUUAAUAGGCGCAUUCAGUUUGGAAAAGACAGCUUUUCAUUAAUGUCCCACGUAAAGGAAUAUGGCCUAUACAGUACGUACGCUGCUGCGUGGUCAUAUUUGUUCCUGUGAUCUUAUUGUAUUUUCAAAGUUUGGAAGUAUACUCGUGUGCUUUGCUGUUUUUUUAUGCUUCCUGGAAUUUGGGGACUCAUGAGAGACUUGAGGUUAGAGUUCUGCAAGUGAGAAGACACUACAUGGUUGCAGCUGCCACAUGAAGAACCCAAGCUCCUGUCAAAGUUGUGAAUGCGACUUUGGAUGAGAUUAAGAAGGCCCAGUGGACGGUUGGUCUUGAAGAGUGGCAGUGUGUGGAUUUGAGGACCUCUGCAGACCAUCAGAUCAAAGGAGGGAGAGCUGUUUUGGGUGUUUUGUUUUUUUUGUUUUUAUAGCAUUUUGCUUUUUCUUGGAAUGUAAUUUUCCUAUGGCAUGUUAACUGGUGCACAUCGUGUAACCUGUCUGGUGAGCAACCUACAAUUGGGAUGAGUUCUAGGUACAUGUGUUUGCUGACUUUGGGGUAAACAACUUUGUUAUAAUACAGUCUCUGCCACAGAUGCAUGUGACCUCUUCAGGGGCCCAGAGUGGCUGAGGAAGGAAAGCUUCAAGCUGGCCAUGGGGGUCCCAAACAGUCAUUCCAGGCUUAGAUGAUGACUAGCCUAGGUCAUCAGAGCCCAGACUCCACAGAGACUAAAAUCAGAGCUCUGUCUUGUUAUGAUAAAUUUCAUUUGCUUGGAAAAAGAAAUGCUGAAAGCCAGUGUUUAGAAUCUUUGUGCAGAUGACCAAAGCAAUUGACUUGGCCAAGAAAAG